rnacentral:sRNA from 1 species
GCUGAGUGCAGUGGCGCACGCCUGUAAUCCCGGUGACUUGGGAGGCAGAGACAGGAGGAUUACAAAUUCAAGGCCAGCCUCAGCAACUUAUCGAGGCCCCAAGCAACUUAGUGAGAUCCUGUCUUAA